rnacentral:piRNA from 1 species
UGGUAGAACACUUGUGAAGUCCAGGGGCUAA